rnacentral:rRNA from 1 species
GAUGAACGCUGACAGAAUGCUUAACACAUGCAAGUCAACUUGAACUUCGGUUUGGGUGGCGGACGGGUGAGUAACGCGUAAAGAACUUGCCUCACAGAUAGGGACAACAUUUGGAAACGAAUGCUAAUGCCUGAUAUUAUGAUUAUAUGGCAUCGUAUAAUUAUGAAAGCUAUAUGCGCUGUGAGAGAGCUUUGCGUCCCAUUAGCUAGUUGGAGAGGUAACGGCUCACCAAGGCGAUGAUGGGUAGCCGGCCUGAGAGGGUGAUCGGCCACAAGGGGACUGAGACACGGCCCUUACUCCUACGGGAGGCAGCAGUGGGGAAUAUUGGACAAUGGACCAAGAGUCUGAUCCAGCAAUUCUGUGUGCACGAUGAAGUUUUUCGGAAUGUAAAGUGCUUUCAGUUGGGAAGAAAAAAAUGACGGUACCAACAGAAGAAGUGACGGCUAAAUACGUG